rnacentral:rRNA from 1 species
AACGUAGGACGCAAGCGUUAUCCGGAGUUACUGGGCGUAAAGGGCAGGCAGGCAGGUCGAUAAGUCGGAUGUGAAAUCUCCCUGGCUUAACCGGGAGAGUGCAUUUGAGACUGUCAACCUGGAGGGCAGCAGAGGAGCGUGGAAUUCCGGGUGGAGUGGUGAAAUGCGUAGAGAUCCGGAGGAACACCAGAGGCGAAAGCGGCGCUCUGGGCUGCACCUGACGCUGAACUGCGAAAGCCAGGGGAGCGAGCGGG